rnacentral:tRNA from 1 species
GGCAGUGGCUCAAUGUCUUCUAAGCAGGUUGUCGCAGGUUCGAGUCCUGCAGGGGUCGCCA